AUCUAAGCGGGAAGCGAGCCCUGAGAUGAGUCAUCCCUGACCCCUUGAGGGUCCUAAAGGGCCGUUGGAGACCACAACGUUGAUAGGUGGGGUGUGUAAGUGCAGCGAUGCAUUGAGCUAACCCAUACUAAUUACCCGUGAGGCUUAACCAUACAACACCCAAGAAGUGUUCUG
rnacentral:rRNA from 1 species